UUUUUUUUUUUUUUUUUUAGGGCCGCACCCACAGCAUAUGGAGGUUCCCAGGCUAGGGGUCAAAUCGGAGCUUUAGCUGCUGGCCUACACCAGAGCCAUAGCAACACCAGAUCCAAGCUGCAUCUGUGACCUACACCACAGCUCACAGCAACACCGGAUCCUUAAACCUCUGAGCGAGGCCAGGGAUUGAACUUGCAACCUCAUGGUUCCUAGUCAGAUUCGUUUCCACUGAGCCACAACAGGAACUCCACCACCUUGUUUUUAAAGAGGUCAUCCUUGAGUGGUAGGAUUCUUGGUGACUUUUCUUUUUGCCUCUUUGUAUAUUCUAAUUGCAUUAUGAUUAAAAUACACCACAAUGUGUAAUAAUAGUAGUAGUAAAUGCUUUAGAAGAAUAUUGUUAUCAUUGUAUGGAGUCCACAACAUAUUGUUAAGUAAAUAAUAAUAAUAAUAAUAAUAAAGGCUACAAAACACUGCCCAAAGUAUGAAGAACACAGUAGCAAUGCCUGUGUGCAAAGAGAGCAGGUCAUGAAUAAAUGGUUUUAUAUUUUGUGCAUUUUGGUCUCUUAACAUUCCUACAUUAUAAUGAAGGGAGAAGCAUUAAAAUACAUCAGUGAAAUACAGAGAACUGCUAUUUAGAUAUUGUCAUUAUUAUCAUUCCAUUAGCAAUAGUCACCAUUCAGUCAGAGAUACUUUUCUGGGUUUUGUGUGUGUGUGUGUGUGUGUGUGUGUGUGUGUGUGUGUGUGUGUCUUUUUAGGGCCACACUCGCAGCAUAUGGAAGUUCCCGGGCUAGGGGUCAAAUCAGAGCUACAGCUGCUAGCCUAUGCCACAACCACAGCAAGGCGGGGUCUGAGCCAUAUCUGUGACCUACACCGCAGCUCACGGCAACGCCAAAUCCUUUAACCCGCUGAGUAAGGCCAGGGAUCAAACCUGUGUCCUCAUGGAUACGAGCGGGUUUCAUUACUGCUGAGCCAUGGCGGGAACUCCAAGAGAUACUUUUCUGAUCACUUCCUGAAGAGCCAAUGUUCUAAAAGGAUCACCUCCUGAUGUUCAGUCUCAUAGUUGAAAUCGUUACCCAAAACCUUGAAAAGUAUCUGAUACCUGUUACUGUUUCUCUUUAUGUUAACUAAGAAGAGAGGGAAUUGGACGUCUCAAGUCAAAUCAACUCUUUUUUUCCCCCAGUUACAGAAAAGCAGCUUUCUUCCCUUGGGUACUGCUGUUCUUAUAAUGCAGUAGUAGUAAGGAAAACAUGGAUGUGGUGGUGUGGGAAGUGUGUGUGUGUGUAUAUGUAUGUGUGUGUGUGUGUGUGUGUGUGUGUGUGUGUGUGUGUGUGUGUGUGUGUGUGUGUGUUUCUGUGGUGGGGGUAGGUAGCUAAAGUGUGGGCCUUACUAUAAGGAAGCAUCAUAUGCACGCUUCCCAAAUGGGGAUGCAUUUAGUAGACUGUCCUACUCAUGUAUUUUCUCCAGCAAGGUUCUCAAUACCAAGGGACUAGCCCCCAGAAUCUUGGUACUAAGUAAUCCUCCUUCCCUGGCCACAGCUUCUGGAUCAUCAUGGAGACACUCAUCCUGGGAUGACUCCUAUGCAAGUGAAGUUCUCAAGACACAGGUUCCAUGCAGACUCAGAAAUAUCUUCGUGGUAUCAAGUGUCCUAAGAGAAGAUUCAGGAGCUAUAGUUGCUGGGUCCUGGGAGGUCCCCUGACUUCUAACUCCUAAGACCUCCCUUCUAAUAAAUUACCCCUCUCUUAUUUUAAGGAAACUAGGUAGAUCAGUUUCUAUUGCUUACAGUCAAAAAAAUGUUAAGUAAACUGGUAUAUGUCUAUCUCCUCCCCCACCAAGAAAGCCCUUACUUGUAUAAGGAGCAUGAGAUUCCUCAAUUUAACGAUGUCAUUGAUAGUGGACACGAAUGUGCUUGUCCCAAAUAUACUUUUAGGAAAGAAUACCUAGAAUGGACUGAUACUGAAUCACAAGUUAAAUUACCCAAAGUUGCCUCAGAGGGAGUUGCUGGAAUGGGGACUAUGUAGCAAAAGAUGAAUCAGCCUACAUUCAGUGUGGAUCGUGAAUUGAAAUGGGCUUGGAGGACAACGAGGAGAUUUGGUGGCUAAGAGAUACAUAGAUUGGGGCCUGAAGUUUUUUAUUUGAGCUGAACAAGUAGGGCAAAUCAUUAUGUUCUGUUAUGCUUUUUAUGGUUUAAGAAAAAAUUAGUUAACAUUGUUAUAACAUUUCCAUGUCCCACACACGUUAUUUCUAAUCUAAACCUGCACAAGGGUUCUCUCUCCCUGAUUUUCAAGUAGGCCAUGCCAUCUUCAAUUAUCUCAAGGUACACUGAAAAUUUAUCAGAGAUUCUUAAAUGUCAUACCUGCUAAUUAUAAAAAUAAAUGAAGAUAAGAGAUAUUUUAUGUCAUGGGAUUAAACCGAUGGCUUUUAAAUGCUGCACAUUCAAGGAGGUUUGGAACUGCUGAUUUGGGAACUGCGGGCUAGGGCAAAUGUAUCAAAGAUGCAGGCAGAGAAAGCUGUGCUUGUGAUGAGGAGAGAUUGAGAGCUGGUGACAAAAGCUGUUGAGUUGAGAACACCUUGCCACUUAUUAUAGUUAAGAUAGCUCGCCUUGCUGUGGGCUCUUUAUUUUAAUGUAGAUGUCUGAGAGUGAGUGGGUGAUUGAGGGAAAUGGAGAGAGGUGAUGUGUCUUCCCAGGGCAAGAUGGCAAUUGAGUGACUACCAAACCCUUCCCCUGUGAUGUUAAUAUAUGCACUCAUUGUUCCACCCUCUUUUCUAGUAACAGUAAACAACAUUUGUCACUUGCAGAGGACGACUUUGUACUUCAGCACUGAUGGUGAACCAACAUUUGUAUUUCAAGGACCAAAGCUCAGGCGGCGGAAGUGGGAGGCCCAGAAAAGAUGUAUGUGGUGGGUGGAGAGAGAGAACAGGACAGGGUUCACAUGUGCAAACCGGCGGAUCAUUCAUAAGUCUGGCUUCCAUGACAGGAGAUGGCCUAAUGCCUCAUUAAUUCCCGCAGAGAUGACGAUGAUAUAUCACCCCCUUUCAAUCUGAAACUAAGUAAUGCGUUCAAAAAAAACACCUAAUUUGCACAUGUUUAAUGCGUUCAUUAAGCUAUUAGUCUUUCAACAAGAGAUUUAAUAGCAAAUUAACAUUUCUUUUAAAUAAUAAAAAAUCAUCCCCCCCAAAGCCCCCAGUGAAUACAAUUAUUUUGUGUUUUGAGCACAAUUGGCUGUAGGAGAAAACACUUGGCACUAGAUUGGGGGUGGGAAAGACCAUAUUGGGUUCUUAUUUAUUACGCAAUUAGUCACCCUGGGGCAUUAUUUUCUUUGAAAAACAAUGUUUCUGGGGAACAAAAGGCCUAUUGGAAGUAGAUAUAAGAAGGUCAAAGACAGAAAAGAAUCCAAAAGGGCUAAUUUUGUGAACUGAAUCAUGAAAAACAAAACAAAACAAAAAAUGGCUUGCCCUAAUUAUAAGGUUUGUGAAACAAUGAAAUCGACUUUGUUUGGUCAACAUUCAAAUAUCAAUAUUUACCUACCAUUCACUUAGCUCCUGUUAUGUGUUGAGCACUGGGCUAGAUAAUGUAAGAGAUUUAACAUAAGGGAAAAAAUAUCCUGCAUUCUUCCUCUCCAUAAGGUUGUUUUGAAUAGCUACUAAGUGAUGUGUGCCAUGUAAAGCAAGAUGAGUAGAUCAUGGGCUCAUUUCUUGGGUAAGUUAUAUAG
rnacentral:lncRNA from 1 species